rnacentral:rRNA from 1 species
CACUCCUACGGGAGGCAGCAGUGGGGAAUAUUGGACAAUGGGCGCAAGCCUGAUCCAGCCAUGCCGCGUGAGUGAUGAAGGCCCUAGGGUUGUAAAGCUCUUUCACCGGUGAAGAUAAUGACGGUAACCGGAGAAGAAGCCCCGGCUAACUUCGUGCCAGCAGCCGCGGUAAUACGAAGGGGGCUAGCGUUGUUCGGAUUUACUGGGCGUAAAGCGCACGUAGGCGGACUAUUAAGUCAGGGGUGAAAUCCCGGGGCUCAACCCCGGAACUGCCUUUGAUACUGGUAGUCUUGAGUUCGAGAGAGGUGAGUGGAAUUCCGAGUGUAGAGGUGAAAUUCGUAGAUAUUCGGAGGAACACCAGUGGCGAAGGCGGCUCACUGGCUCGAUACUGACGCUGAGGUGCGAAAGCGUGGGGAGCAAACAGGAUUAGAAACCCCAGUAGUCCCA